rnacentral:rRNA from 1 species
CAAAUUGAGAGUUUGAUCCUGGCUCAGGACGAACGCUGGCGGCGUGCCUAAUACAUGCAAGUCGAGCGAGCUGAAUUCAAAGAUUCCUUCGGGAUGAUUUGUUGGACGCUAGCGGCGGAUGGGUGAGUAACACGUGGGCAAUCUGCCCUAAAGACUGGGAUACCACUUGGAAACAGGUGCUAAUACCGGAUAACAACAUGAAUCGCAUGAUUCAAGUUUGAAAGGCGGCGUAAGCUGUCACUUUAGGAUGAGCCCGCGGCGCAUUAGCUAGUUGGUGGGGUAAAGGCCUACCAAGGCAAUGAUGCGUAGCCGAGUUGAGAGACUGAUCGGCCACAUUGGGACUGAGACACGGCCCAAACUCCUACGGGAGGCAGCAGUAGGGAAUCUUCCACAAUGGACGCAAGUCUGAUGGAGCAACGCCGCGUGAGUGAAGAAGGUUUUCGGAUCGUAAAGCUCUGUUGUUGGUGAAGAAGGAUAGAGGCAGUAACUGGUCUUUAUUUGACGGUAAUCAACCAGAAAGUCACGGCUAACUACGUGCCAGCAGCCGCGGUAAUACGUAGGUGGCAAGCGUUGUCCGGAUUUAUUGGGCGUAAAGCGAGCGCAGGCGGAAUGAUAAGUCUGAUGUGAAAGCCCACGGCUCAACCGUGGAACUGCAUCGGAAACUGUCAUUCUUGAGUGCAGAAGAGGAGAGUGGAAUUCCAUGUGUAGCGGUGGAAUGCGUAGAUAUAUGGAAGAACACCAGUGGCGAAGGCGGCUCUCUGGUCUGCAACUGACGCUGAGGCUCGAAAGCAUGGGUAGCGAACAGGAUUAGAUACCCUGGUAGUCCAUGCCGUAAACGAUGAGCGCUAGGUGUUGGGGACUUUCCGGUU